UAGUCUGCGGUUAAGGGGAGGCGGCGGUUGCGACCUCAGGGCCAUGCCUAGGCUGAACCGGACGAUUUGCGCGUUCUUCACUCCCCCGCCGGGAUCUGCAGUUUCAGCGGUGCCGCCGACGCCACCGUAGCCCGAAUCGCCGGUUCUGAAGCUCUCAGCAGGUGAAAGAAGUCAACUCUAUGCUGACUGCAAGUCCAUAAACCCCAGUUGGGUAGGAACCAGAAAGUUGAUGACACUAACUCCAACUACCUCACCACCCACCAAUCAGGAAGGUGUUCAUAAGCUGACCACGCCCUGCUCCUCAAACACUAUAAGACUCCUCACUACCCCCUCAAAGGGGGCCGCAGUCCUUAAGGCACUAGCCUGCCACGAUCCCUUUUACUGACAAUUAAAGCUGUUUUUUCUGUU